rnacentral:rRNA from 1 species
GAAAGGCCAAUCAAACUCGGAAAUAGCUGGUUCUCCGCGAAAUCUAUUUAGGUAGAGCGUCGGAUGAACACUCCAGGGGGUAGAGCACUGAAUGGGCUAGGGGGUCUCACCGACUUACCAAACCUAAUCAAACUCCGAAUACCUGGAAGUGCUAUCCGGCAGACACACGGCGGGUGCUAACGUCCGUCGUGGAGAGGGAAACAACCCUGACCACCAUCUAAGGUCCCCAAGUUAUGGCUAAGUGGGAAAGGAUGUGAAGACUCCAAAACAACCAGGAUGUUGGCUUAGAAGCAGCCAUCAUUUAAAGAAAGCGUAACAGCUCACUGGUCUAAUCAAGAGUCUUUGCGCCGAAAAUGUACCGGGGCUCAAGCCAUACACCGAAGCUGUGGGCUCGUCUUUGACGAGCGGUAGCGGAGCGUUCCGUAGGCCUGUGAAGGCGGACCCGUGAGGGCUGCUGGAGGUAUCGGAAGUGCGAAUGCUGACAUGAGUAACGAUAAAGGGAGUGAGAGACUCCCUCGCCGAAAGUCCAAGGGUUCCUGCUUAAAGUUAAUCUGAGCAGGGUUAGCCGGCCCCUAAGGCGAGGCCGAAAGGCGUAGUCGAUGGGAACCACGUUAAUAAUCGUGGGCCUGGUGGAGAGUGACGGAUCUCGUGUAUCGUACGGUCUUAUUGGAUUGAUCGUGCGGUGAAGAGGUUCCAGGAAAUAGCCCCACCGUAUAGACCGUACCCGAAACCGACACAGGUGGACUGGUAGAGUAUACCAAGGCGCUUGAGAGAACUAUGUUGAAGGAACUCGGCAAAUUGCACGCGUAACUUCGGAAGAAGCGUGACCCCCAUUUACGCAAGUGGGUGGGGGUGGCACAGACCAGGGGGUAGCGACUGUUUAUCAAAAACACAGGGCUCUGCGAAGUCGCAAGACGACGUAUAGGGUCUGACGCCUGCCCGGUGCUGGAAGGUUAAGAGGAGGGGUGCAAGCUCUGAAUCGAAGCCCCAGUAAACGGCGGCCGUAACUAUAACGGUCCUAAGGUAGCGAAAUUCCUUGUCGGGUAAGUUCCGACCUGCACGAAUGGCGUAACGACUUCCCCGCUGUCUCCAACAUAGACUCAGUGAAAUUGAAUUCCCCGUGAAGAUGCGGGGUUCCUGCGGUCAGACGGAAAGACCCCGUGCACCUUUACUAUAGCUUUACACUGGCAUUCGUGUCGGCAUGUGUAGGAUAGGUGGUAGGCUUUGAAGCGUGGGCGCCAGCUCGCGUGGAGCCAUCCUUGAAAUACCACCCUUAUCGUCAUGGAUGUCUAACCGCGGUCCGUCAUCCGGAUCCGGGACAGUGUAUGGUGGGUAGUUUGACUGGGGCGGUCGCCUCCUAAAGAGUAACGGAGGCGCGCGAUGGUGGGCUCAGACCGGUCGGAAAUCGGUCGUCGAGUGCAAUGGCAUAAGCCCGCCUGACUGCGAGACAGACAAGUCGAGCAGAGACGAAAGUCGGUCAUAGUGAUCCGGUGGUCCCGCGUGGAAGGGCCAUCGCUCAACGGAUAAAAGGUACGCCGGGGAUAACAGGCUGAUGACCCCCAAGAGUCCAUAUCGACGGGGUUGUUUGGCACCUCGAUGUCGGCUCAUCGCAUCCUGGGGCUGGAGCAGGUCCCAAGGGUUUGGCUGUUCGCCAAUUAAAGCGGUACGUGAGCUGGGUUCAGAACGUCGUGAGACAGUUCGGUCCCUAUCUGCCGUGGGUGCAGGAGAAUUGACAGGAUCUGACCCUAGUACGAGAGGACCGGGUUGGACGUACCUCUGGUGGACCUGUUGUGGCGCCAGCCGCAGUGCAGGGUAGCUAUGUACGGUCGGGAUAACCGCUGAAGGCAUCUAAGCGGGAAACCCACCUGAAAACGAGUUCUCCCUAUCAGAGCCGUGGUAGACCACCACGUUGAUAGGCCGGGUGUGGACGUGCGGCAACGCAUGAAGCUUACCGGUACUAAUCGCUCGAUCGGCUUGAUCAU